UGGGUGCUGAGUUUGGCAGGCGGCAGCAGGACUUCAUCAGCCUCCCCCAAGCUGAGAACUGGGCUCUUUUGUGGAACAAAAGAGUGCUGUGAAGAGGGAAGAAUCCCCUUAAGUGUGCGAAUGCUAUCUCGUUAUCCUGGGACUGGAGAGAAGAACCUCUCAAACUCUGUGAUUUCAAGUGGAAAAGGAACGCUAACGGGCAUCGCCAGCAUUUCGUGAGUGGUUACUGCAGCUGGCCUGGAGCACCUCGGUUUGCACAUGUUAGUCAUCUCAGUGAAUCCCUGUCACACCUCAGGAGAGAGCCACCAUUGGUUAUCUCCACUCUAUCUGUGAAGAAGGAGUCUGCCCGAGAUCACCCCCACCACCAGCGCCCGGGGCAUCUGUCUGCGGCACAGCACAGCAUCCCUCUCCUGCCCUCCAGAUGUCUUUGACUCCCACCUUCAAAAGCAAGUUGACAUCCUCAUUCAAGAGCAAGGACCAGCUUGGGUCCAUAUUCCUUCUGGAAACUUCCACAGAUGACCCAGCUUGCAUGGGCACACUUCUCUGAAUGUCAUACACCUGUCUACUCCAGAGGAGGCAAUUCUAAUGGGACCUAUGACAUCCAUCAUCAUGGACAGUUGUUAACCACUGAAUUAUUAUUUAACUCCUUGUCUCUGUGAGGCUUUUUUCUCCACCCAGGCUGUUUCUUGGGGAGACUGUGUAUUAUGAGUCUUUGUUUUCCUGUAGCCCCCUGCACAUGUCUCUCUCCAUAUGUGAGACAAUCAAUGUUACUUGAAUAAAUGAAUAAGAG
rnacentral:lncRNA from 1 species